rnacentral:rRNA from 1 species
AUUGAACGCUAGCGGGAUGCUUUACACAUGCAAGUCGAACGGAGUGGCGAACGGGUGAGUAAUGUAUCGGAACGUGCCCAGUCGCGGGGGAUAACUACGCGAAAGCGUAGCUAAUACCGCAUACUAUUGGCGCGGCCGAUAUCGGAUUAGCUAGUGGGUGAGGUAAGGGCUCACCAAGGCGACGAUCCGUAGCUGGUUUGAGAGGACGACCAGCCACACUGGGACUGAGACACGGUCCAGACUCCUACGGGAGGCAGCAGUGGGGAAUUUUGGACAAUGGGGGCAACCCUGAUCCAGCCAUCCCGCGUGUGUGAUGAAGGCCUUCGGGUUGUAAAGCACUUUUGGCAGGAAAGCGGUACCUGCAGAAUAAGCACCGGCUAACUACGUGCCAGCCGCCGCGGUAAUAC